rnacentral:rRNA from 1 species
UACGUAGGGUGCGAGCGUUGUCCGGAAUUAUUGGGCGUAAAGAGCUUGUAGGCGGUUUGUCGCGUCUGCUGUGAAAAUCCGGGGCUCAACCCCGGACUUGCAGUGGGUACGGGCAGACUAGAGUGUGGUGGGGGAGACUGGAAUUCCUGGUGUAGCGGUGAAAUGCGCAGAUAUCAGGAGGAACACCGAUGGCGAAGGCAGGUCUCUGGGCCACUACUGACGCUGAGAAGCGAAAGCAUGGGGAGCGAACAGG